UGUAUUACACGGAGCACUGUGACUGAGGAGAAGCAGGAGUGUGAUGUCAUCAACCCGUGCCUUAUAUAGACAUUUCCUGUUAGAUUUUGGGAAAUGUAGUUUUUGGGCCAGUGCUAGUGCCAAUUAGAUAUUGGGGGUGUCUGAUUGGUUUUGAGCAGGAAUAGGAGUGGCCAACUGGGUUUAUAAGCAGCACAGCAUGAACUGGGAGGGACAGACACACCAGGAUACAGAAGCAGACACCCCAGGAUAUAGAAGGGGAUAUACACCAGGAUAAGUUCCCUUUAUCUUAUGGAUGUUUCACUGUUUCUUGUUGGGCUCAAAUCUGAACCUCUGAACUGCUAAGUGUCAAGGUCAGGGAGAGACUGUACCGAAUCCUGGAAAUUCACCGGGAUGCAGUCCGCAAGGAGACGAGUAGGACCUGGGGAACUGCUGCCAUGGAACCAGCACGGACACCCCGGAGCAACAGUACCUCUGCCAAGCACAGGAGCACAACAGCAACUACCCAGAGCACUUUUCCAUGCACAUUGUUGAAUUGAUGGACUUAUUUAGUUCAAAUUGUUUGUUUGGUCCUAAAGACCCACCGUUUUUGAAUAAAAUGGACAUUU